UUUAACAUUCAUGAAUGGCAGAAACCCAAAAUAUAAUAUAACACGAACAAAGUGAUAAACAUUCGGCAGACAUUAUCAAACAGAUGUGGCCACUUUCCAGCACGGCAGCACGGAAGGAGAAACUCACAGUGAAGACGUGCCCGUCGAGUUCCCCGAUGAUUACCCCAACCGAAAAUAAAAUCAAGAAGAGCAUAAAAACCGAAGUCAAAGGUAUUCCAUCCCCACAAGUGGCAACAUAUGUGGCUGAAGCACAGCGCAGCCACUGCCAUUUAUUGACACAAGACUGUCAAAACGUACCUGAGCCAAAGGAGGACGAACACGUUUCGGAGCACUCCCCGGGACCAGGUCGACAUCAAUUCAAUUAAAAUGGAGCACUUAAUUUUAUGCCAAGUUCGCCGCACUCAAAACUCUACCCUCUACACCCGGGUACGAUUCCGGGUCGAUGGCAAAUCAAAAAGGAAGCGCGCAGGCAGCUUGUUUGAGUGUGUCCUGAAGGGUGUCCUCGAGGACUGGAGCAGGUUUUUGGUGGGAAGCUUGUGUCGUGCAUGCGAUAUGAGUCAAUAAUAUUGUAACAGCUGUCUGUUUGGAUCCCUCUUUCCACCUGCCCCUCUCUCUUGGGCUGCCAAUUUCAAAUGGAAAUUUAAAUGUACGAGUACCCACGGCAAAGCAAAGGUAAGCGAACACAAGCACCAGGACGCCAGGACAUCAGACUGCGAACAAGCACGAGUACAUGUACAUACUAGAAUACGCACUCAGCCAUCUGCGAGUGGAUUUUCGGGAAUGAGUCUGUAUGCAAAAUGGCUGAUAAUCACUAUUUGACAGUUGAUUCGGCAGGAAACGCAUGCAUCACACAAAGGCGAGCGGUGCUACAGCACUCAACGCUACGUAUGCGUAAUAUUUGAAGACCCAUUGAUGGAAUAAUGUCAGAAUAAUUCUAGCAGACGUCUGCCACCUACGGCUGUUUACAUAGAUUAAAAAUAAAACCCGCCAGAGGAAUGAAUUGUUGCCCAUACGCAGCAACUGGAAAAAAGGGUUCAACAACAAAAGGAGAGAGAACUUUAAAAACAAAAGAAUAUUGUCAAUGCCAAUCACAAUGUCAAAGUGCAACUUCUAAACCGGAAUACAGAGAGAUAAAAAAAAGAUAGAGAGAGAAGAGAGAGAGAGUGAGAGAAAAAUAAACAAGAAGUGUAACAGAGGGAGUACGGGAGGGGCCAAAUGAAAAAACCUAACCAAGCAGCAAAUGCGGCAAAUAGGAUUAAAGCCAAUCUUCUACAGCAGUCCCAGCCGUCGGGGGAUAUACAUAGGUAUUAACAAAUAUGUAAGCUCCAUGUUGGGGAGCUGGAAAAAAAGGUGCGCAUCCAGUCCGACAACGAUAGAGAAAGAGAGUGACAGAGUGAAAGAGAGGGCGAGAAAGUCAAACGUAUGUUCCAGAACUGCCAGGAAUUUACAGUUAACGAAGCAUGAAGUGGAGUUGGCAGCGGGACAAAGGCAAGCAGAGCAAAAGGCAGCGGAGAGCGAAGAGCGGAGCAUGGCCCCACCACCAGAUAAAGGAAUUCAAUCGAAGUUACCAAGUUGACAGACUGGAGCGUGGCAAAAAUUUAGGAACCAGAACCAGAGGCAACAGCAGCAGCAGCAACAGCAACAGCAACAAAACGAAUGACAGGAAAACCAAAACCCAAUCGGAGACCAAAGUGCAAAUAUUGCCCGGGAAACGCUUUGCUGUUUGAUUUUCACAGCCAUGAGAUUAUCAUCAGAAAACCAUUAGAAUUUUUAUUGAAUUCCGCACGCAUAUAAUGCCCACGCUCACGCCUUAUGCUCCAUCCCUUUCCUGGUUAUCCAACCAAACCGAUACCACCAGCACCGGUACAGCCUGUCACCAUAAGGAGAUAGAGAUGCGUACGUGUUUGGGACAUAGAUCAGAGAACGAUAGUUGAGUGCGUGGAAGAUGAACAGAGAACACGCCUAGGAUUGUCAUUUAUUACUUUAUAUACACAUUACCCAACACUUUAAAGGAUAAUCCACCUAUACACCUAUACUUAUACCUAAUUAUAUGAUCCAGCUAGUCCACAAAUCCAUUCCAUUAACCUGAUUAUCCUACAUCAUGAUUAGCCGAUUUCCAUUUCCGCUCACGCACCCAUCUCUAUGACAAAUGUAUACACAGUCGAUGCUUUCCAUUUCCCCACACCAAUAUUGACACACGCUAGCAAAACACCAAGAGGAACAACAACUAAGCCGCAUUGAAUUAUGUGCCUCAGGCAGAGGGACUAAAGGCAGACAUAGUAAGCGUAGGCAGAGGGAAGUGGGAAGCCCCACCGGGAGAUAGGGACCGAGACCGAGAGUAUCCCAACACUUUCACGCGCAUUUUCGUUAAUCAUUUGGGAUUAGUCCAAAACAAACUUCCGCCUCGGCAACAGCAUUGUUAUUGGAUUCGAAUUGACUUUUGUGUUGGGCAUUUCAAUUAAAUCAGCCGAAGCGAGGGUCUUUACUGAGGGUCUGCCGUAAGGGUCUGGUCUGGUCUAGCAGACUGUGUCUAGCUGUCAGACACCGUCUGGUUAAUCUUUUAUAAUUAAACUGAUUUAGCUGCAUUAGAUACUCCGUAUUGUACGGGUACAUGGCCCAGGGGGGCCGGGGCCCUUUGACUUGUUAGCAUAAUUACGCAUUAAUAUCGUACAUUCUCAUUCACGCACUAAUGGAAACAGAUUGCCCACGUGGACACUUGCCACAAUUUACUGUGCUCACAUUUAAACCUUAAUUGAAAUUUAGUUGCCCUUUUGCCCGAGGAGCUCAUUUCCUUGGAUUUAAAUGAACCCGCAAAUGCAGAUGCAAAUGGAAAUGCACUUGCCAUGUCAUUGAAUAUACAAUCAGGCUCAUUGCGGACAAGUUUCGGGUCAAUCAAAAUAGGUAUUCGAUUGAUUAGUUACAUUGCGUGUGAGUGUGAGCCAUCAUGAUCCUUUUGAGGCAGAUCUUUAUAGAAUCCUCACACUAUAAAUGGUUAUCUUUGUCCCACAAUAAAAUACAAAUAAAAUCUAUAUUUAUUCUUUUUGGGUCCUUUCAUCAAGCUCCUGCUGCAAAUUAAAAGCAAAUAUUAAUAAAUGAAAUGACAUCCAACAUCAAUUUCACCUCACUUACAAUCUGACAGAAAAUCUCUGUUGAUGCGUUGGCCAGUUUGCAAAUUAAAUUUAUUAAAAGCUUACCCAAAAAUGUCUCUUCAAAUUGCCAUAAUUUUUGUGUCUCGCACAAAACAAUUCUUCUUUCGAAAACCACAAUGCAAAUUUCAAUUACUUUUCUGGGGAACGGGACCGAAAACAAAAGAGCGGAGAUAUAUGUGCAAAUAAAAGACCAGUAGACGAUGAAUUUUAUGUGCUUUAAAUUUAUGGAACAUUUAGUUGCCAAAUGCAAAACAAUCUCCAAGUUCAAUGACAUGCAAAAGCCAAGUCAACAAUACAAGUGACAGAGACAAAUGCAAUAACUCCUGUAAAGUGCAAGU